rnacentral:rRNA from 1 species
CCUACGGGAGGCAGCAGUGAGGAAUAUUGGUCAAUGGGCGUAAGCCUGAACCAGCCAAGUCGCGUGAGGGAUGAAGGUCCUAUGGAUCGUAAACCUCUUUUAUAAGGGAAUAAAGUGUAGGACGUAUCCUGUUUUGUAUGUACCUUAUGAAUAAGGAUCGGCUAACUCCGUGCCAGCAGCCGCGGUAAUACGGAGGAUCCGAGCGUUAUCCGGAUUUAUUGGGUUUAAAGGGUGCGUAGGCGGGCUUUUAAGUCAGUGGUGAAAGUCUGUGGCUCAACCAUAGAAUUGCCGUUGAAACUGGGAGGCUUGAGUAUGUUAGAGGCAGGCGGAAUGCGUGGUGUAGCGGUGAAAUGCUUAGAUAUCACGCAGAACCCCGAUUGCGAAGGCAGCCUGCCAGGCCAUGACUGACGCUGAUGCACGAAAGCGUGGGGAUCAAACAGGAUUAGAUACCCGUGUAGUC